rnacentral:rRNA from 1 species
CUCGUAGGCGGUUUGUCGCGUCGGGAGUGAAAACACCAGGCUUAACUUGGUGCUUGCUUCCGAUACGGGCAGACUAGAGGUAUGCAGGGGAGAACGGAAUUCCUGGUGUAGCGGUGAAAUGCGCAGAUAUCAGGAGGAACACCGGUGGCGAAGGCGGUUCUCUGGGCAUUACCUGACGCUGAGGAGCGAAAGUGUGGGGAGCGAACA